UACGAAGGGGGCUAGCGUUGCUCGGAAUCACUGGGCGUAAAGGGUGCGUAGGCGGGUCUUUAAGUCGGGGGUGAAAUCCUGGAGCUCAACUCCAGAACUGCCUUCGAUACUGGAGAGCUUGAGUCCGGGAGAGGUGAGUGGAACUGCGAGUGUAGAGGUGAAAUUCGUAGAUAUUCGCAAGAACACCAGUGGCGAAGGCGGCUCACUGGCUCGAUACUGACGCUGAGGUGCGAAAGCGUGGGGAGCAAACAGG
rnacentral:rRNA from 1 species